CUGAUUAAAAGGAGAGAGACCUCUUAUGAGAAGAAUGCUCUUAUGCAUCUCUCUCUUUGUCUUGGAUGCUUUGUGAGGAUGUGAUGCCUGGAGCUGGGGCAGUCAUGUUGUGAUCAGCAAUCCCAUGGCUGCAGUUGAAAGCUAAUGUACAGAGACCCUGACGCUGGGAAAGAUUGAAGGCAGGAGACGGGGACAACAGAGGGUGAGAUGGUUGGAUGGCAUCACCGACUCGAUGGACAUGAGUUUGAGCAAGCUCUGGAGUUGGUGAUGGACAGGGAAGCCUGGCAUUCUGCAUUCCAUGGGGUCGCAAAGAAUCAGACAUGACUGAGCGACAGAACUAAACUGUACAGAGUAAGGUAUCUGUCACACAGAAGCUAAGCCUGUGCAGGUGACCCAGAAAAGCCCCACCUUUCAGGGGUGGUGUUUGUGUCGAACAGGCCCUUUCGCAGUGGAACUCUCCCAGGCUCAGUCGCAGGGCGUGUGCUGGCAACUUCAC
ensembl:lncRNA